GAGAGAGAGACAUGCGCGCAUAUCAAUAAGCGGAGGAAAAGAAACUAACUAGGAUUCCCUCAGUAACGGCGAGUGAAGCGGGAAGAGCUCAAAUUUGAAAUCUUCAAGGUUCUACCUUGACGAAUUGUAGUUUAAAGAAGUGUUUUCUGUUGGAGUUUUGGUAAAAGUUCUUUGGAAUAGGACAUCAUAGAGGGUGAGAAUCCCGUAUUUGACCAUUAUUUCCAGCUUUGUGAUACACUUUCAAAGAGUCGGAUUGUUUAGGGAAUGCAGUCCAAAAUGGGUGGUAAAUUUCAUCUAAAGCUAAAUAUUGGCGAGAGACCGAUAGCGAACAAGUACCGUGAGGGAAAGAUGAAAAGAACUUUGAAAAGAGAGUUAAACAGUACGUGAAAUUGUCAAAAGGGAAGCGUUUGACACCAGUGUUGUUUUCUCGAAAAUCAAUUAAAAAGAGUAGAUUUUGUGUUGUAUUGACCUUAAUCAGCUUUCUGCACUCUUUUCUUGUCUUUUUUAAUGCACUUUUCGUUUAACAAGUCAACAUCAAUUUCUUUUGUUGUAAAAGGGUCAUUGGAAGGUGGCUUUCUUUUCGGAGAAAGUGUUUAUAGCCUUUGGCCUCUGCAAUCGGAGAGAUUGAGGUCUGCAGCGUAGAUCCUUCGGGGUUAGAUACAUUUGUGCUAAGUUAUAGCCUUUCGUAGACAACUUGUUGACUAUGAUCAGUCAUGUAGCUUACUCGCUUAUGCUAUUUUACCUACGCUUAGGAUGUUGAUGUGAUACUGCGAGCA
rnacentral:rRNA from 1 species